UACGGAGGGUGCAAGCGUUAUCCGGAUUCACUGGGUUUAAAGGGUGCGUAGGUGGGCAGGUAAGUCAGUGGUGAAAUCUCCGGGCUUAACCCGGAAACUGCCAUUGAUACUAUCUGUCUUGAAUACCGUGGAGGUGAGCGGAAUAUGUCAUGUAGCGGUGAAAAUGCUUAGAUAUGACAUAGAACACCAAUUGCGAAGGCAGCUCACUACGCGAAUAUUGACACUGAGGCACGAAAGCGUGGGGAUCAAACAGGG
rnacentral:rRNA from 1 species